rnacentral:rRNA from 1 species
AGGCAACCUGCCCUCAAGUUUGGGACAACUACCGGAAACGGUAGCUAAUACCGAAUAGUUGUUUUCUUCGCCUGAAGAGAACUGGAAAGACGGAGCAAUCUGUCACUUGGGGAUGGGCCUGCGGCGCAUUAGCUAGUUGGUGAGGUAACGGCUCACCAAGGCGACGAUGCGUAGCCGACCUGAGAGGGUGAUCGGCCACACUGGGACUGAGACACGGCCCAGACUCCUACGGGAGGCAGCAGUAGGGAAUCUUCCGCAAUGGGCGAAAGCCUGACGGAGCAAUGCCGCGUGAGUGAUGAAGGUUUUCGGAUCGUAAAGCUCUGUUGCCAGGGAAGAACGCUUGGGAGAGUAACUGCUCUCAAGGUGACGGUACCUGAGAAGAAAGCCCCGGCUAACUACGUGCCAGCAGCCGCGGUAAUACGUAGGGGGCAAGCGUUGUCCGGAAUUAUUGGGCGUAAAGCGCGCGCAGGCGGUCAUUUAAGUCUGGUGUUUAAUCCCGGGGCUCAACCCCGGAUCGCACUGGAAACUGGGUGACUUGAGUGCAGAAGAGGAGAGUGGAAUUCCACGU